AUACGUAGGUGACAAGCGUUGUCCGGAAUGAUUGGGCGUAAAGGGCGCGUAGGCGGCGCGGUAAGUCUGGAGUGAAAGUCCUGCUUUCAAGGUGGGAAUUGCUUUGGAUACUGCCGCGCUUGAGUGCAGGAGAGGUUAUCGGAAUUCCCGGUGUAGCGGUGAAAUGCGUAGAGAUCGGGAGGAACACCAGUGGCGAAGGCGGGUAACUGGACUGCAACUGACGCUGAGGCGCGAAAGUGUGGGGAGCAAACAGGAUUAGAUACCCUGGUAGUCCACACUGUAAACGAUGAAUGCUAGGUGUAAGAGGUAUCGACCCCUUUUGUGCCGGAGUCAACACAAUAAGCAUUCCGCCUGGGGAGUACGGCCGCAAGGUUGAAACUCAAAUAAAUUGGCGGGG
rnacentral:rRNA from 1 species